AACGCGAAGAACCUUACCUGGGCUCGAAGCACAGUGGACCGGGGUAGAAAUAUCCCUUUUCGCAAGAACUACUGUGGAGGUGCUGCAUGGCUGUCGUCAGCUCGUGCCGUGAGGUGUUGGGUUAAGUCCCGCAACGAGCGCAACCCUUACUCCUAGUUGCUACCCGCAAGGGAGAACUCUAGGAGGACUGCUCCGGAUAACGGAGAGGAAGGUGGGGAUGACGUCAAGUCAGCACGGCCUUUAUGUCCAGGGCUACACACGUGUUACAAUGCAUGGUACAGACUGUUGCGAACCCGCGAGGGGGAGCUAAUCGGACAAAGCCAUGCUCAGUUCGGAUUGCAGUCUGCAACUCGACUGCAUGAAGCUGGAAUCGCUAGUAAUGCCGCAUCAGAUCGGCGGCGUGAAUACGUUCCCGGGCCUUGUACACACCGAGACGUA
rnacentral:rRNA from 1 species